CUGGGCCUGAGACCGGCCACUGGCUUCAGGAGGGACCGGACCAGCUGCGCCUGAGAGCGGUCGCUGCCGCUCACUUGGUGCCUCAUUUUAACCCGAGCUGCGCCAAUAUCGGACACCUCAACCGCAUCAGCAUCAAGAAGAUACAGUUAUUUACAGUACAAUGUGGGGGAGAAUCAGAACUAAGCAGCCAAGAUAAUGACAAACCCAGAUCGUUCAAAACUGGACCACUUGAUCCAUUUGGUGUUUGCUACUCUUGCCUGCAAGAGCUUAAUGGGAAUUCAUUUGUAUUCUGCUCUGAUCUCGCUCUGC